UCCUCAGUAACUCAGUGGUAGAUUGGUCGGUUGUUAACCGAUUGGUCGUAGAGUCGAAUCCUGCUUGGGGAG